GAUGAACGCUGGCGGCGUGCCUAAUACAUGCAAGUCGAGCGAACAGACGAGGAGCUUGCUCCUCUGACGUUAGCGGCGGACGGGUGAGUAACACGUGGAUAACCUACCUAUAAGACUGGGAUAACUUCGGGAAACCGGAGCUAAUACCGGAUAAUAUAUUGAACCGCAUGGUUCAAUAGUGAAAGACGGUUUUGCUGUCACUUAUAGAUGGAUCCGCGCCGCAUUAGCUAGUUGGUAAGGUAACGGCUUACCAAGGCAACGAUGCGUAGCCGACCUGAGAGGGGUGUCGGCCCCACUGGGACGGAGACCCCGGCCAAGACUCGAAGGGGGGCCGGCGGAGGGAAUUCUCCGGCAGGGGGGAAAGGUUUGCGGGGCAACGGCGGGUGAGGGGAGAAAGUUUUUGGGUUGGAAAACUCCUUUUUUUGGGAAAGAAAAAUUUUUUAGUAACUAUGCCCCGUUUGACGGUACCAAAACAAAAAGCCACCGCUAAACACG
rnacentral:rRNA from 1 species